rnacentral:rRNA from 1 species
ACGGCUCAGUAACACGUGGAUAGCCUGCCCNUNGGGUCCGGCAUAACCCCGGGAAACUGGGGAUAAUUCCGGAUAACGCACAUAUGCUGGAAUGCUUUAUGCGUAAAAUGGAUUCGUCUGCCCAAGGAUGGGUCUGCGGCCUAUCAGGUAGUAGUGGGUGUAAUGUACCUACUAGCCAACAACGGGUACGGGUUGUGAGAGCAAGAGCCCGGAGAUGGAUUCUGAGACAUGAAUCCAGGCCCUACGGGGCGCAGCAGGCGCGAAAACUUUACAAUGCGGGAAACCGUGAUAAGGGGACACCGAGUGCCAGCAUCAUAUGCUGGCUGUCCAGGUGUGUAAAAUACACCUGUCAGCAAGGGCCGGGCAAGACCGGUGCCAGCCGCCGCGGUAACACCGGCGGCCCGAGUGGUGAUCGUGAUUAUUGGGUCUAAAGGGUCCGUAGCCGGUUUGGUCAGUCCUCCGGGAAAUCUGACGGCUCAACCGUUAGGCUUUCGGGGGAUACUGCCAGGCUUGGAACCGGGAGAGGUAAGAGGUACUACAGGGGUAGGAGUGAAAUCUUGUAAUCCCUGUGAGACCACCUGUGGCGAAGGCGUCUUACCAGAACGGGUUCGACGGUGAGGGACGAAAGCUGGGGGCACGAACCGGAUUAGAUACCCGGGUAGUCCCAGCCGUAAACGAUGCUCGCUAGGUGUCAGGCAUGGCGCGACCGUGUCUGGUGCCGCAGGGAAGCCGUGAAGCGAGCCACCUGGGAAGUACGGCCGCAAGGCUGAAACUUAAAGGAAUUGGCGGGGGAGCAC